rnacentral:rRNA from 1 species
UAAUACGAAGGGCCCGAGCGUUAAUCGGAAUCACUGGGCUUAAAGGGUGCGUAGGCGGAUCUGUAAGUAUCUUGUGAAAUCCCACGGCUCAACCGUGGAACGUCUUGGUAAACUGCAGAUCUUGAGGUUGGUAGAGGAUGCUGGAACUCUAGGUGGAGCGGUGAAAUGCGUAGAUAUCUAGAGGAACACCAAAGGUGAAGACAGGCAUCUGGGCCGAUUCUGACGCUGAGGCACGAAAGUGUGGGUAGUGAACGGGAUUAGAUACCCCGGUAGUCCACGCCCUAAACGAUGUGCACUAGACUGUG